rnacentral:lncRNA from 10 species
UGUAAUAUCCGGUGUUGGAGGUGGAGCCUGGUGGGAGGUGAUUGGAUCAUGCGGGCAGAUUUCUCAUGAAUGGUUUAGCAGCAUCCCCUUUGUCCUGCCCUUGGAACAAUGAGUUAUCUGUCAGAUCUGGUAGUUAAAGAGUGUGUGGCACCUCCCCCUCGCUCUCUUCCUCCUGCUACUGCCAUGUGAGAUACCUGCCCCUACUUUGCCUUCUUCCAUGAUUGGAAGCUUCCUGAGGCCACCCCAGAGUCAGAAGCCGCUAUGCUUCCUGGACAGCUUGCAGAACAACUUUUACUCAUGGUGGAAGGCAAAGUAGGAGCAGGUGGAUGAAAUCAAGGCUUGCUGCUGACAAAAUAUAAAUCAUGCCAUAUGAUGCCAAUUCUAAAAUGCCAUUAAUGCUCCUCCAUUAACCCCUGCAGAGUAUUCACUGACUGCUGAAACUAGAGCAUCACUGAGAAGCAAGAGAUAGACUGACCUAACUAGAGGGAGAGCUGCCAUCCAGGAUGAUGCCACCAUCACAGGAGGUGAGAAGGAACACAGCAUCUUCUGCAAAUGCUACAGUAAAUAGGGACGGGGUGCAGGUAAGAUCACUGACCCCAGGUCACUGACCCCAGUAUUCUCAGAGCCAACAGCUAACUUUGCAGGAGAGCCCUGAGCCAAUUACUAGAUAUGUAAACUUUAAAAAAAAUGCUUAAGUCAUCAAAAUUUAUUUUUUUCAAUGGGCAAUGUGAGGAAAGUGGAAUGAACUUGGACUUUGAAGGCAAACUAACCUGGAAUCAAAUACUGGCUCUGCUGUUUGCAAGUGUGAUCUUUGGGUAUGCUUCCUAAUCUGUGAGCUUCAACUUCCUCCUCUGUAAACCAAGAUCAAAGACAAACAGGGAAACCUACUUGUCUGGUGCCCAUCCCCUUGGCAGAACACUCCUCUGAAGGAUGACAGUUUGGCUGUGCCAGGGCAGAGCUGCCGACACCAAAUGAGCCUUCAUAGCAACUAUCUGAUGAGGAACUCACUGGCCUACCUUUCCUUGACAGCUGGGGCCUGCCAGCCUUGAAGCAUGACUCCACAACGCCCCUACCCAAGGCCAUGGAGGUUGCUGCUGAUGAGCAAGCUGUUUUAUAUUUAAUCCAGGUUUCUGCUUGGAGAGGAAGAAGGUAGAGGAGCCAGCGAAGGUUUGUCUGAAUGAUACUUGCAGAAAAAACACUGGUAACAGUCACAAAACUUUGAAAAUUAAAGUGCCAGCGAGGUGGCUUUUGGUGGCCAGAUGAAAGCUGUUAACCCCAGCUUUUACAAAUGCUGGGCUUUGAGUAAGAGGAGAGUGUCUUUCUGGAAAAGUUUGAGACCUCUUACUAUUGUAGCAGCAAAAGCAUCCACGGCUAGUGUUUUCCAAGCUCACUGCUACUUGUUGCAGUCUAGCAGUGUUGUGUCUCCUGAAAUUCCUACCUUUCUUGAUGGAUGUAAAAGAAGUACCAAUUUAUUAAGCUCCUAGUAUGUGCCAGAUGCUCCAUAUAUGUUACUUUUGAUCUUCAGAACCACUCAGCAACUUACUGCUUCUCCUCACUCCCAAUUACAUAGAUGAUGAAAUUGAAGCAGAGUAGUUUGUCUAGGAUUACAGAGCUAGGAGGGACCAGAGUUGGGAUUCUCCCUCAGUUCUAAUACACAGUAUGCUACAUUUCCUGUCGAGUAGUAACAAAGCUUCUAAGAAAUCUGAGUUUUCAUUUGUUAAAACUGAAUUUUUAAGAAAUGUAGACAGGAGCACUAAGUACUCUAUAGUUUAACGUUAAUAAUGGUACAAGUAUAUAACCAGUUUCUCAUGCACUGGCAUAACAUACUUCAGAGGGUACACCAGGGCUGGAUGAAUAUCUGAACCCAAAAAUAUCUGAGACAGGUCUCAGUUAACUUAGAAAGUUUAUUUUUCCAAUUUUGAGGACAUGCACCCAUGACACAGCCUCAGGUGGUCCUGACGACAUGUGCCCAAGGUAGUUAGGGCAAAGCUUUUUUUUAUACACUUUAGAGAGACAGGAGAUAUCAAUCAAUAUAUGUAAGAUGUACAUUGGUUAUGUCCAGAAAGACAGGACAACUAAAGCAGGGAGGGGGCUUCCAGGUCUUAUGUAGGUGAGAGAUAAAUGGUUGCAUUCCUUUGAGUUUCUGACUAGCUUUUCCAAAGGAGGCAAUCAAAUAUGCAUUUAUCUCAGUGAGCAGAGGGGUGACUUUGAAUAGAAUGGGAGGCAGGUUUGCCCUAAACAGUUCCCAGCUUGACUUUUCCGUUUAGCUUAGUGAUGUUGGGGCCCUGAGAUUUAUUUUCCUUUCACACUUCUUCCAUUUUCUUUUUAAAAAUCUUUUGAAGAAAGCAUUUUAGAAGAAAAUGAGUCUCUGCUCUCAUGGCUAGGAUAGUUUAUUCCUACAGGGGUAGGUCCCAAGUUAUUAGGAAAGCUCAUUUUUAGCAGAUUGAGAAGUCUCAUGUCCUGUGAAGAGACAAUAGUAGGAGGAAGGGAGAAAAACAACAAACAAGAGAACAAUCCUAGAAAAUCUAUAUAGACCACAUUACUUUGAAGUCCAUACAUCAGUAGGUAGGUAUGAAAGUGGCUUAUGUACCUAAAUAGUUUGCUUUUAUUUUCUUCUGAAGUUUAAGUUGUCUAGAUUCAGUUUGCAGGACUUUAGAAAGUACAGCUUAGUUUUCAAUUAUUUCGAAUUAGGAAAAAUGGGGUGAGGGGAAGGAAAAGAAGGAAAAAAAUUGAAAACAUUAUUUUGGAGACUUGUAGCCAGGAAAAAUUAGAAUUCAGUCUAAACUGUAGAAAAUAAUAAAAAUAGAAAAACAUUAGGCAAGACUAAAAUCUAACAACAGGUGCACUAUAGUUUUUGAAACGUAUUUUUUCUCUCUCCAGUUUCCCAUUUUCACUAAAAACAAAUCAUAGAAGAACCAAUUUGCUUUAUUAUACUUGGCCAGAUUAUUUGUAUGAAGUGAAGCAAGAAUAAUUAUUUUUCACAUAGGCUUUUAAAAUUAGCUUUGAUGGACUUCUUCCAUAGAAGGAAUCUCACAUAAGCCUUUUUUAAAGCCAAGCCCAGCCACAGAUUUGUACCAUCAAAUACCUAUGAGUUGGGUGAAUUAUUCUCCUUUUGAGUUCCAACAUAACUUAGGGCUCUUGGGCCUGUCAGAAAGUGACAUUCUUUACUUACCACAGGUCAGGAACACCGUUCAGGGACUGUGCAGACAAGGUAUGAGGCCAGUUUCCCCAAGGGGUUUUUAUUGGCUCUAUAAAUCAAGUUUAAUACCUUAAAGGAAAGCACACCAUUCCAGCCAAAGACUCAGUAAAAUAACCAGUUUCUCCAAUUGUGUCCUGUUACAAAUAAAAACAGAUUCUUAUUUCACUUAUGCAAAUAACUAUAUUGCCGUAAGUCACGAAUACUUACAAGUAGUUUCCAAAUUUUGGAGAAAUCAGGUAGAGAGAAACAAAUAAGCUCCAAAUUUCGUUCAUAGGAGUAUACUUGUUAAAAGCUGUCAAUAGCUCAAAAGAAAAGUUUCCUUGACUCUGAAAAACAAAACAAAGGAUCAGCAACGUUUUGUGCAAAAAGUCAAAAAGACUACUUCAGUCUUCUACUGGUUCAGUCCAUGCAGUUAAUUUCUGUUCUGCUUGAUAUUCGUGAACAUUUCAGCUCUCCGUAAGUCCUGAAAGUUUUUCCUCUUUUCUAAUGUCACAAUCUCCAAAGUUAUCAGAAAACUGCAUUCAAGAACACAUGUUAAGAGUUUUAUAGCUGAUUAUAAAACUACCUUCAAAAGAGGAACAAAACAAGACAACAAUUGUCCAUGGAUGACAAAAAAUUUUAGGGCAGCCAUAGUCAAAGACACAGUUGACAAGAAAAUUUGUUACCUCUGUGGCAUACAAUAAUUUAACAUAACAAUUAUAAUUACUGAUAACAUACACUAAGUCAUAUCAGAAUUUUAGGAGUUUCCUAUUAUUUUGGAACAGAUACCAAUAACACAUUUAUACAAAUACAGCC